rnacentral:rRNA from 1 species
UUAAUGGAGAGUUUGAUCCUGGCUCAGGACGAACGCUGGCGGCGUGCCUAAUACAUGCAAGUCGAGCGGGGUUGUUUAGAAGCUUGCUUCUAACUAACCUAGCGGCGGACGGGUGAGUAACACGUAGGCAACCUGCCCACAAGACAGGGAUAACU